CUAUACAUGACUCUGCGCAUAUCAAUAAGCGGAGGAAAAGAAACUAACAAGGAUUCCCCUAGUAACGGCGAGUGAAGCGGGAAGAGCUCAAAUUUGAAAUCUUAAAGGGUUUCCCUUUACGAAUUGUAGUUUAAAGAAGUGUUUUCUGUUGGAGUUUUGGUAAAAGUUCUUUGGAAUAGGACAUCAUAGAGGGUGAGAAUCCCGUAUUUGACCAUUAUUUCCUAGCGUUGUGAUACACUUUCAAAGAGUCGGAUUGUUUGGGAAUGCAGUCCAAAAUGGGUGGUAAAUUUCAUCUAAAGCUAAAUACUGGCGAGAGACCGAUAGCGAACAAGUACCGUGAGGGAAAGAUGAAAAGAACUUUGAAAAGAGAGUUAAACAGUACGUGAAAUUGUCAAAAGGGAAGCGUUUGACACCAGUGUUGUUUUUCCGAAAAUCAAUUACUGAAUGGUUUGAUUUUGAGAGUUCAUGACCUUCAAUCGCUUGCUUCUUUCUUUACUGUACUUUCGUAAUGCACUUUUCGGUUAACAAGUCAACAUCAAUUUCUUUGUUGUAAAAGGGUACGAGGAAGGUGGCUUUACUUUCGGAGUAAGUGUUUAUAGCCUUGUAGCCUCUGCAAUCGGAGAGAUUGAGGUCUGCAGCGUAGAUCCUUCGGGGUUAGAUACAGUUUGUGCUAAGUUAUAGCUUUUCAUAGACAACUUGUUGACUAUGUUUAGUCUUGUAGCUUACUCGCUUAUGCUAUUUUACCUACGCUUAGGAUGUUGAUAUGCAUGACUGAUAU
rnacentral:rRNA from 1 species